rnacentral:rRNA from 1 species
GACGAGCGCUGGCGGCGUGCUUAACACAUGCAAGUCGAACGGAAAGGCCCUGCUUUUGUGGGGUGCUCGAGUGGCGAACGGGUGAGUAACACGUGAGUAACCUGCCCUUGACUUUGGGAUAACUUCAGGAAACUGGGGCUAAUACCGGAUAGGAGCUCCUGCUGCAUGGUGGGGGUUGGAAAGUUUCGGCGGUUGGGGAUGGACUCGCGGCUUAUCAGCUUGUUGGUGGGGUAGUGGCUUACCAAGGCUUUGACGGGUAGCCGGCCUGAGAGGGUGACCGGCCCCAUUGGGACUGAGAUACGGCCCAGACUCCUACGGGAGGCAGCAGUGGGGAAUACUGCACAAUGGGCGGAAGCCUGAUGCAGCAACGCCGCGUGCGGGAUGACGGCCUUCGGGUUGUAAACCGCUUUCGCCUGUGACGAAGCGUGAGUGACGGUAAUGGGUAAAGAAGCACCGGCUAACUACGUG